rnacentral:lncRNA from 1 species
GAUGGUGACAUAUAUAUUUUAAAAGCUUAAUAUCUCUUGUAGAACCCUUUGUACAGUUUCAAUUGUGCCGUAUGUGUUUUAAAAUCUUAAUAUUUCUUAUAGUACCUUUGUGUAAUAGGAACUAUAUUCUUUGCAAUGGUAAUAUCACAUCAAAUUUAUUAUAAUUUCAUAAAAAUAUUUAUAUUUUAUCAAUUAUCAUAUAUUUUAUCGUUUUCUACGAUGAUAUCUUAUACUACUUC